rnacentral:rRNA from 1 species
AAGUUUCAACAACGGAUCUCUUGGCUCUUGCAUCGAUGAAGAACGCAGCGAAAUGCGAUAAGUAAUGUGAAUUGCAGAAUUCAGUGAAUCAUCGAAUCUUUGAACGCACCUUGCGCUCCUUGGUAUUCCUUGGAGCAUGCCUGUUUGAGUAUCAU